UCAAUAGACCAUAGUUAAACUUUGAUUACAUUUACUACUUUGUAAGAAGACAAUGAAAACCCUUAUCCCAAUGACCCAAACUGAGACAGCAGCAUGGGGCCAUGACUCACCUUGGGCUCUCUCCUGCCACCACCGCCAGAGGAGGGGUCUCGGCCCCACGGAGCCUGGCUUUCGGUCUCUCUGGGCCGCGGAGGACCAGCUGGGCCCCUGUGCAGGACGUCCAAGAGACCUUCCUAGCCAGAGCUGUCCCAUCCCUGGGACGCCAGAGCCCUUCUGGACUGCUGGCCUCGCCCGCAUCUGCCGCCCACCCUCCACCAGCCCCUCGCACUGCCCUGCCCAGCCCAGCCCCGACAAGCCCUGGGAUGCUGCUCACACUGGCCUUCUGGAUCCAGAGACAACGCUGCCAUCCUCGCCUGCUCAUCCAGGAAGGAGCCUGCCUUCGGGUCCGGCGGCUGCACACUGAGGAGUACAAAGCCAAGAGCAGGAGACCCAAUGGCACAGCCAUUCUCCAGGCUCGCGGCUUCCACACACACACCUGGCCAUAGCCUGGCAUGCGGCAUACCAUGGGGGUCACCAAGGACCUGGCAAAUGCCUUCACUCCCUUUCUCUCUAGAUUCAGUUCUCUGAUACUGCCGGACGGGUGCUCACAUUUUCCCAUUGGGCUAACACCAGGAAAAUGCUGGAAUGCCCGUGCUCUGUCAGUCACCCUCGUCGUUUCCUGACCUCGGCCUAUUGGGUCACUGCUUUGUGGACAUUGAACCAGAUUCCUCCUUCAGUGGACCUCGGAGUUUCAGACAGGUUUUCAUCGUACAGGACGCAUAUGCCACCAGGAGUCAUCUUCAAUCCUAUACUGUCCCUCCUGUGUUCCCUUAGCUUGACCUUCUUUGUUGAUCAAUUUAUUAAAGGGCUGGGUAAGAUAUCAAUACCCUACCUGAACUUCCAGGGGUCCGUGGGAUGGGAAGCGUCUCAUGAUACCUGUCACCAUGGACUGUGCAAUUUGGUCUUGCCUUUACUCCCUCUCCCUUUCGUUUCCUUUUCU
rnacentral:lncRNA from 1 species